rnacentral:misc_RNA from 1 species
GCUAAAAGCAGCUUUUGAGCUUCUAAAUUCGAUGCCUGUGGAACCUCAUGCAAGUGCUUGGGGUGCACUUCUCGGAGCUUGUAAGCUGUAUGGCGAGGUUGAGUUGGGGGAAGUUGUUGCUAGGCGAUUGUUUGAGCUUGAACCCAAAAAUUCCGGUUCUUAUGUGCUUUUGUCGAGCAUAUAUGCUGCAGCAGAGCAGUGGCAGGAUUUUGCUAUUGUUAGGGACAAAAUGAGGGAGAGAGGGUUUAGGAAAAUACCUGGUCGUAGUUGGAUAUCUCAUAAUAGGUAGGAUCUCUUGGCACCACCUCAAUGACCCCAUUUGUCUGUCCAGAAUCAGAAGGAAUUGGGAAAACGAA